GAUGAACGCUGGCGGCGUGCCUAAUACAUGCAAGUCGAGCGAACAGAUAAGGAGCUUGCUCCUUUGACGUUAGCGGCGGACGGGUGAGUAACACGUGGGUAACCUACCUAUAAGACUGGGAUAACUUCGGGAAACCGGAGCUAAUACCGGAUAACAUUUGGAACCGCAUGGUUCUAAAGUGAAAGAUGGUUUUGCUAUCACUUAUAGAUGGACCCGCGCCGUAUUAGCUAGUUGGUAAGGUAACGGCUUACCAAGGCGACGAUACGUAGCCGACCUGAGAGGGUGAUCGGCCACACUGGAACUGAGACACGGUCAAGACUCCUACGGGAGGAAGCAGUAGGGAAUCUUCCGCAAUGGGCGAAAGCCUGACGGAGCAACGCCGCGUGAGUGAUGAAGGGUUUCGGCUCGUAAAACUCUGUUAUUAGGGAAGAACAAACGUGUAAGUAACUGUGCACGUCUUGACGGUACCUAAUCAGAAAGCCACGGCUAACUACGUG
rnacentral:rRNA from 1 species